GCCUGGGUGGCUCAGUCGGUUAAGCGUCUGACUUUGGCUCAGGUCAUGAUCUCACAGUUUGUGGGUUCAAGCCCCACAUUGGGCU
rnacentral:tRNA from 1 species